GAUAUGGCUCAGGAUGAACGCUAGCUACAGGCUUAACACAUGCAAGUCGAGGGGCAGCAUGAACUUAGCUUGCUAAGUUUGAUGGCGACCGGCGCACGGGUGAGUAACACGUAUCCAACCUUCCCGUUACUCUGGAAUAGCCUUUCGAAAGAAAGAUUAAUACCGGAUAGUAUCGAGAGAUUGCAUGAUUACCCGAUUAAAGAUUCAUCGGUAACGGAUGGGGAUGCGUUCCAUUAGG
rnacentral:rRNA from 1 species